AGUGAACGCUGGCGGUAGGCCUAACACAUGCAAGUCGAACGGCAGCACAGUAAGAGCUUGCUCUUACGGGUGGCGAGUGUCGGACGGGUGAGUAAUACAUCGGAAUCUACUUUUUCGUGGGGGAUAACGUAGGGAAACUUACGCUAAUACCGCAUACGACCUACGGGUGAAAGCAGGGGAUCUUCGGACCUUGCGCGAUUGAAUGAGCCGAUGUCGGAUUAGCUAGUUGGCGGGGUAAAGGCCCACCAAGGCGACGAUCCGUAGCUGGUCUGAGAGGAUGAUCAGACACACUGGAACUGAGACACGGUCCAGACUCCUACGGGAGGAAGCAGUGGGGAAUAUUGGACAAUGGGCGAAAGCCUGAUCCAGCAAUACCGCGUGGGUGAAGAAGGACUUCGGGUUGUAAAGCCCUUUUGUUGGGAAAGAAAAGCAGCAGGUUAAUACCCCGCUGCUCUGACGGUACCCAAAGAAUAAGCACCGGCUAACUUCGUG
rnacentral:rRNA from 1 species